AGCAUGUUAGCUCAGGGGAAGAGCGCCGGGCUCAUAACCCGGAGGUACGUUUCACCGCCACCAAAUUUGAUAAAAAAUUCAUCCAACUAACUCUCAUCAGGACCCUGGAUCGAAACCAGGACAUGCUA
rnacentral:tRNA from 1 species